UUGCGUCGGCCGGGAGACGAACCCGGAUCAUCUGAUUGGGAAACAGCGAUUCUGACCGUAGAACUACCGCA